rnacentral:rRNA from 1 species
UACGUAGGGUGCGAGCGUUGUCCGGAAUUAUUGGGCGUAAAGGGCUCGUAGGCGGUUUGUCGCGUCGGGAGUGAAAACCUUGGGCUUAACUCAGGGCUUGCUUUCGAUACGGGCAGACUAGAGGUAUGCAGGGGAGAACGGAAUUCCUGGUGUAGCGGUGAAAUGUGCAGAUAUCAGGAGGAACACCGGUGGCGAAGGCGGUUCUCUGGGCAUGAUCUGACGCUGAGGAGCGAAAGUGUGGGGAGCGAACAGG